rnacentral:rRNA from 1 species
CACACAUCGCCCGUCGCUUCAUCGAAGUUGGUUUUAGGCGAGGUGGUGCGAUUUGGCAUUAUCGAACCUGAGAUCAGCAACGAGGGAG